AUAAAUAGAUCUUUGAUAUAAGAAUAGAAUUACAUCCCGUAUCCCUCACAGAGGACCCACCUGACAGGCUAGGAGGGUGACGAAAAGGUGUGACGAAGGGUGGGAGGAUGAAAAAACUAGAUGAUAGAAAAUGAUUCUGCCAAAAACCUCUACUUUUUCUCACUUUUCUUUUCUCCUUACCCGCCCGCACGUACCCUCCCGUGCGCCAAUCACGUUCCUGAUUUUUU
rnacentral:lncRNA from 1 species